GUGUCAGCAGCCGCGGUAAUACGUAGGUGGCGAGCGUUAUCCGGAAUUACUGGGCGUAAAGCGCAAGCAGGCGGCUGGGCAAGUCUGACGUGAAAUCUCUUGGCUUAACCGGGAGGGGUCGUUGGAAACUGCCUAGCUUGAGGCGAUGAGAGGGGCAUGGAAUUCCCGGUGUAGUGGUGGAAUGCGUAGAUAUCGGGAGGAACACCAGAGGCGAAAGCGGUGCCCUGGCAUUGGCCUGACGCUCAUGUGCGAAAGCGUGGGGAGCGAACGGGAUUAGAAACCCCCGUAGUCC
rnacentral:rRNA from 1 species